AUGAAUGUGUUGCCAGAGCCGCCAAAAAGGCAUCAUAAAGUGGAGGUGCUCCUCAUGCAAAUAAUCCCAAAAACAAAAAAGGCAACAAUACCUCAACAGCCUAGAGUCGAGAGUCUGCUCAGGGAAAAACUAGAACACCCACAUCCACAAGGAACACCAGCAGGACUAGAACAUACCCAACGUUCACGUGACCCGCGACCAAUUCCGUCUACCAGCACCACUCAGACACCUGUACCCCACGACCCAGGGUCACCGGCACCCACGUCUGCUGCGGCCGCGCGCGAGACCAACACCGACCGAGCCGGCUCCCCCGCUUUAAACUCGCCUCCAUCCGACCCGGCCGUUUCUCCUUCCCACUCCACGCAGCCACGACCAAGAAAUUUCCCAUUCCACCCCUCUCCUCUCGCCGCGGGACCGAGGGAUCCCAUCGGCCGCUGCUCCAUGUCGUCGCUCGCCAUCGGCUGCGGGCUGGAGUGGGAGCUCUGGCUCGGGGGCCUCUUCACGGCGGCGGACCUGGCGGCCGCCGACCUGCUCCUGCAGCUCCGCUUGGGAGAGGCGGAGGCGGCCACGUUCACGAUGACGUCCUCCUUGCGGCGCUCGGCGAGCUCGUGCUGCGAGGACCUCGCCGUCGACACUGAGGAGGAGCGGAUCGUCAAGGAGACUGCCGUGUCUCUGGGGUCCAUGGAGCUUGACUGGAGGACGAGGAAGAGCUCGGCAAACUCGUGCUGCGAGGACCUCGCCGUGGACGAGGAGGAGGAGCGGGUCGUCAAGGAGAGGGCGCUGCCGCUGGGGUCGAUGGAGCUGGAAAGGAGGGCAAGGAAGAGGUACCGCCUGCUGUCCGAGCUCUACGCCGCCACGAGACCGGCGAAGGCCGCCGCCCCUGCCGCGAAGAAGAAGAGGAAGAGGCGCCACGACGGCGGCGUGUCCGAGUCGGAGUCGUGGUCGGAGGAGGCGACGAGUGCAUGGUCGUGUGAGACCGUCCUAGUACAGGUGACUCAUUCCAUCAUCUACCGUUGGCCCACAAGGAAAGUUUCUCAUCUCCAUCGGCAGCGAGGCCCGGGUCACAGCACCGGCAGCGUUGCAUUGGAACUGCGCUGGCAGCGAGGCCCUGGUAGCAGCACCGGCGGCGUUGCAUUGGAGCUCCGCCGACGGCGACAUCUGGGCAUCCGAAUCACAGCAUCGCGUUGCAUUGUAGCUCCGUUCGGCGGCGAGGCCUCAGAUUGCAGCACCGGCGGUGUUGCAUUGGAGCUCCGCCGGCGGCUACAUAUGGGCAUCCGGGUCACAGCAGUGCGUUGCAUUGGAGCUCCAACGGCGGGGAGGCCCUGGUUCACAGCACCGGCGGCGUUGCAUUGGAGCUUCACCGGUGGCGAGGCCCGGGUCGCAGCACCGGCGGCGUUGCAUUGGAGCUCCGUCGGCGGCGACAUCUGGGCCACAGCAAUGCGCACAGAUGCUAGAGAAGGUGGUUGGAAGAAGGAGGCGGAGAGACUAGAGCGCAUCGAUAGAUGGGGAUUCGGAGAAGACGAGAGUGGGGAGAAGAUUCGGGAUAGACGUGUGUGGGCCCCGUGUGACGCGUGUCGCACUCACGACAUGGUUUACGCACCGAGCAAAUCAUUUUAA
rnacentral:rRNA from 1 species